rnacentral:rRNA from 1 species
CCCUUAGAUGUCCGGGGCUGCACGCGCGCUACACUGAAGGAAUCAGCGUGCUAAACCAUUGUCGAAAGGCAUUGGUAAACCCAUUAAAAUCCUACGUGAUUGGGAUCGGGAAUUGCAAUUAUUUCCCUUGAACGAGGAAUUCCCAGUAAGUGUGGGUCAUAAGCUCGCGUUGAUUACGUCCCUGCCCUUUGUACACACCGCCCGUCGCUGCCCGGGACUGAGCCGUUUCGAGAAAAGCGGGGACUGCUGCUGUCGGGGCUUUCGGGCCUUGGCUUCGGUGGAAACCGCUUUAAUCGCAGUGGCUUGAACCGGGCAAAAGUCGUAACA